AGAGUUUGAUCCUGGCUCAGGACGAACGCUGGCGGCGCGCUUAACACAUGCAAGUCGAGCGACGAACCAGCCCUUCGGGGCUGGGGAAAGCGGCGAACGGGUGAGUAACACGUGAGUGACCUGCCCUCGGCAUCGGGAUAACUCCGGGAAACCGGAGCUAAUACCGAAUGGCCUCCGGAGUUUUCGGGCUCCGGAGAAAAGGUAGCUUCGGCCUCCGGCCGAGGAUGGGCUCGCGGCGGAUUAGCUUGUUGGUGAGGUAAAGGCUCACCAAGGCUGCGAUCCGUAGCUGGUCUGAGAGGAUGGCCAGCCACACUGGGACUGAGACACGGCCCAGACUCCUACGGGAGGCAGCAGUGGGGAAUCUUGCGCAAUGGGCGAAAGCCUGACGCAGCGACGCCGCGUGCGGGAAGAAGGCCUUCGGGUUGUAAACCGCUUUCAGGGGGGACGAAGCCACUCGGGUUAAUAGCCCAGAGGGUGACGGUACCUCCAGAAGAAGCCCCGGCUAACUACGUGCCAGCAGCCGCGGUAAUACGUAGGGGGCAAGCGUUGUCCGGAUUUAUUGGGCGUAAAGAGCGUGUAGGCGGCCAGGUAGGUCCGAUGUGAAAACUCGAGGCUCAACCUCGAGAGGUCAUCGGAAACCAUCUGGCUAGAGUCCGGAAGAGGAGAGUGGAAUUCCCGGUGUAGCGGUGAAAUGCGCAGAUAUCGGGAAGAACACCUAUAGCGAAGGCAGCUCUCUGGGACGGUACUGACGCUGAGACGCGAAAGCGUGGGGAGCGAACAGGAUUAGAUACCCCCGUAGUCC
rnacentral:rRNA from 1 species